AGUGAACGCUGGCGGUAGGCCUAACACAUGCAAGUCGAACGGCAGCACAGUAAGAGCUUGCUCUUACGGGUGGCGAGUGGCGGACGGGUGAGGAAUACAUCGGCAUCUACUUUUUCGUGGGGGAUAACGUAGGGAAACUUACGCUACUACCGCAUACGAUCUACGGGUGAAAGCAGGGGAUCUUCGGACCUUGCCCGAUUGAAUGAGCCGAUGUCGGAUUAGCUAGUUGGCGGGGUAAAGGCCCACCAAGGCGACGAUCCGUAGCUGGUCUGAGAGGAUGAUCAGCCACACUGGAACUGAGACACGGUCCAGACUCCUACGGGAGGCAGCAGUGGGGAAUAUUGGACAAUGGGCGCAAGCCUGAUCCAGCCAUACCGCGUGAGUGAAGAAGGCCUUCGGGUUGUAAAGCCCUUUUGUUGGGAAAGAAAAGCAGCAGGAUAAUACCCCGCUGUUCUGACGGUACCCAAAGAAUAAGCACCGGCUAACUUCGUG
rnacentral:rRNA from 1 species